rnacentral:rRNA from 1 species
UACGGGGGGGCAAGCGUUGUUCGGAAUUACUGGGCGUAAAGGGCUCGUAGGUGGCCAACUAAGUCAUACGUGAAAUCCCUCGGCUUAACCGGGGAACUGCGUCUGAUACUGGAUGGCUUGAGAUUGGGAGAGGGAUGCGGAAUUCCAGGUGUAGCGGUGAAAUGCGUAGAUAUCUGGAGGAACACCGGUGGCGAAGGCGGCAUCCUGGACCAACACUGACGCUGAGGCGCGAAAGCGUGGGGAGCAAACAGGG